UCCAAGAGCAAAAAGUAAAGGAAUCUGUGCCUUGGGGAAGUUUUAACCUAAGCUGGUAAGAAUAAGCUUAGGGGGUCUUUCAUGCAGGUCCCCACAUUUGUACCCCAGAGUUCAGAGUGGGGCCGGAACCUUGACACAGGGCGAUCG